rfam:Trichobilharzia regenti genome assembly, scaffold: TRE_scaffold0016367
GUACUACUGAGGAGUCCAAAACUAGAAUGAAACAGCUGUCCAGUAC